UUUUAGAACUAAGAAAAGGCUAACAAACAAUCUCUUCUCCCAGAAUAGUAGAAGAAAAUACAAAGAAAUGUAGUUGAACAGUGAACAACUGAAAGCAUAUUAGUAGCAACAAAGCAUUCAGCUCUUCACUGUCCUCUGAGGCUGUUUUCAAAUGUUGUAGCAACUUACAUAUUGUUUGGUUAUCUUGUAGGCGACAGAUCUUAGUCAAAGUUACAUUUAUCAAUGCCAUCUGCUGGACUGUAGCUUGUAUCCAUAACAUAGCAUUUUCUAACAACAAAUCUAGUUGAAAAUAUGAUAGGAGAGAUGCAAUUAUUUUAACGAAAAUGCAUUACCAGGAAAGAGUGAUGGCUCAAUAAUAUUCUUCUAAUGUUCGCAUUAACUUUUACUUUUAGUCCUUGGUUUACUUCAUGGCAAGGCAGAUCACUUAGCCAACUAAAGCCACUUGCUAUAGUUUGAUUGUUAGGUUGAUUGAUC
rnacentral:lncRNA from 1 species